rnacentral:lncRNA from 1 species
CUUCCUAUGAAAACCAUCUUUUGUUUAUAUAGUGUGGAUAUUUGGAAUGAAAACACUAAAAGUAAACUGAGAUUUAUAAAAUUACAAUAGACUGAAGCAGAGAGAAAGGCCAGGAAAUUAAGAUAUAGGACAUUUUACCCAUGGUUUCAAUUAGAGAGUAUGAAUAUGUAACCUUGAGUUUUUGAGUUGUUUACUUUGUACUCUACAUUUUCUCAUGAAGACUUUCAUUACGUGUAGUUUUCCAUGUGCAAGGCAUGAAAUGAUCCAUUUAUUUUUCUUAGUGGAUUUUAUGGGUUGAAUGUUAUGGGUUUGCCCACACAAGAUUACUUUUACUCCAUAUUAAAUUUGGCAUAUAUAUUUUUCCUGAUUGCUUCUACUGACAAACACAAAGCUUGUUUGUGUGCAAAUAAAAGGCUAAAUAAAUGGUGCUAAAGUGUAUUAUGACUGUCAGAUAUAAUCAGGCAAAAUUUUGUGGUGCUUCAAUUAAUUUCUCAUUGAUUUUAUUGACCAGUGUGUUGAACAGUGUUUAUUCACAAACUGUGUUUUAUUAGUAAAAUUAAAGCUUCAUAGCACAUUGUUAACAAAGAGGUUGCCUAGAUUAUGUAAUAGCUCACCAGGCUAUUUUCUCCUUGACUCCUUAUAAUGAUUCCUCAUUAAAGGUCAAGGGUCAUGCUAUUAAUCUCAUUCUAUAGAUCAGUAACAUGACUGAACAUUUCUCACAUGGUACUUAUGUUUACAAUGCUAUAACCCUUUGACUGCUGCGGCAACCUUAACCAUACAAAUGUCACAAUCUAGAAUCAUCAGCAUGGUGUGUGCCAUGGCAAUCAAAGAGUUAAGGGCUGUGCAGUUAUUUGUGUUGUAUUUAUUAAUUUAUAUUUAUUUCAUUUCCAUUCAAGAAUGGGUUAGGGUGGGGCACUGUUUGUCUGCUGUAAGUGUCUUAACCUAGGGAAAGGUUAAAUGGCUUUUUAUACUGUUGCAUCUUCUGUAUUUACCAUCAGUUCAUUGUGUUGUAAUUAAAAAAUGUCAAUAAAUAAGAAAACCAAAAACUGGUUCAUAG